rnacentral:lncRNA from 1 species
CCGGGGGGCCGAUCAGGGACACGUGAGGAGCGGGGCGCAGCGCUGGGCCGCGUUCGCUCUCCCCGGGGUCGAACUAGGGCCGUGGAGGGGGCCAGGAGGGAUCCGCCCUCGCCAAGGCGGGUCUGAACUUCGGGAUCUGCUUCGGGGACGGGCGCCGUGAGCUGCUCGGGUGUCCUCGACCCCCUUGGAGGACCUUGAUUUCACCCCACCCCCACCCCACCAAAUCACAACUUAGAGGAUGGCCUGCGGGCACCUUCGGGGCGGGGACCUGCAAUCGGGGCCUGGCACACAGUAGGCCCCCAGGUGCCACUGCGUGCCGACUUGCCCUGCCAGCGUGGGGAAGCUUGCCGCCUCAGAAGCCACCGCCAGCUGCUUCACUUUGCCCCACUUUAUUCACCCCGGCGAACUGUUGGGUCUCUGACCUUCAUUUGAACCCUCUUUUUUUUUUUCCCCCUAGCUCGCUCGGACUUCUUAGUUCCUCCUUCAGGGGACCCGAAGGGAAAUGGACCUGAUUGGUAGUAGAACUGGGUGAUGGGGUCUCCCUCGGUGAAGACUAAACAGACUUUCCCAAGAAUGUCAACUUUAGACCUUGACCCCUUUUAAAAACUUUUACUUUAACUCGGGAAGGCCACCAAACACUGGUCCGUUUUUUUUUUUAAGGUGUUGUAAUUAAAUUGGAAACAAAUGGUUAACUU